AACGAACGCUGGCGGCAGGCCUAACACAUGCAAGUCGAGCGAGGACUUCGGUCCUAGCGGCGGACGGGUGAGUAACGCGUGGGAACGUGCCCCUUGGUACGGAAUAGCCCCGGGAAACUGGGAGUAAUACCGUAUGAGCUCUACGGAGGAAAGAUUUAUCGCCAAGGGAUCGGCCCGCGUUGGAUUAGGUAGUUGGUGGGGUAAUGGCCUACCAAGCCGACGAUCCAUAGCUGGUUUGAGAGGAUGAUCA
rnacentral:rRNA from 1 species